CUCUUGUAUAUUAUUAUUUGGUGAUUGAUUUUUCCAGAAGAUUCAAUACAAUCACUUGCAAUCUAAUAGAUAAUUCCAUUUGGUUUAUAUCACGUUAUCAGCAACUUUGCCUCUGCACUGGGAUUAACAGGCCAUCUGCAACAAAUCUACACGGAAUAUUUACCGGAAAUCUUCACCAUCACGAGUUCAUCAACACUGUUUUUUUUGGAUUUAGUACAUCUUCGUUCAUCAUAUCCCUGGUACACACCAUCAAAAUCUUUAUAAUUCAGUAUAUGUUUGUCCAAAGGAAAAACACACAUGUGAAUUUGACAAAGUGAAAUUAGAAAAGGUUUUCACUCCAUAUGCUUAUGCGUUGGCAUUAUUUUAUACACAAAGGAUACACAUGUUUUUUCAAAUGAUUUACUAAAUUGGAAUUUCGAUCCAAUCCUUUGGAACAAAAGACAUAUGCUUUUCAAAUCUAGAUUUUAGAAUACCCAAAGUAGUUUUAUUUUCCUGCAUUUUAGAACACAAAUAGGGUAUUCUGCUUCAUACCAUAAAGAAUCAAAUUCCAAAAUUGUUUUUUUUUAAUUAAUCCGGCAGUCACUGCCGCCCAAAUACACACUUCCUGUACAACAAACAGAAAAAAUAUACAACGAAAAAAAAAUAAAAACUGACCUGAAAACUUUUCUCCGGCGAUUGUCCUCAACCGCCAACCGUUUCUGUGAUGCCGUAGACAUCGGCGUUUAACCGGUUAAGUUCUUCGUACGGACGUAUAGGAAGCUACUCAUCGGCGUUCAUUGCUGACGUCAUUUCACCGCCAUUUGCGACAUCAACGAGUUCGAGUUUCUACUCGUCUCCGGUUUACAGCCGUUCGUCAUCUCUGACACGUGUGAACCUUCACGGACUCACUCCGGUGACGUAAUCAUCGGUGCAGUUUUUCAACUCAGAUGCUCCGCCAUUACAAUCUAAUCGUUGAAAAUGAUGUGAAAAGGGGAUCAAAUGAAACCCUAGCGUGGUUUGUCUGUGGGUAGAAACAUCCAGAGUGGUUUUAAAAUAUAUAUCUUAUUAAAAGAAAGGAUGUUUUGCUUGCCAGCUAAUCCACUAACAAUAUUUAUACAAUUUAAUAUAUUAUAUUUACGAAGAUGUACUCCACCGACAAUUUCAAUAGUUUAACAACGUCAUAUUCAUUUUUAUACAGAUAAAAUUAAAUCUACAAAUUCAUAUAUGCCAACAUAUUCAGUGGCGGAUCUUGACCUAAACCUCAGCAUGGGCUGAUAUUUUUUGGAGAUAAAAUCAGCCUGGGCCGAACCAAUACACAUUU
rnacentral:lncRNA from 1 species